AAAAUUAAAUCAGGAAAGUCAGCAACGUGGAAAAGAAACAAGCAAUAAGGCAUAAGCGCUUUUUCCAAAAGCUAUUUUUUUCCUCUCAUCUUCCUCACGUGACAGCAGCAACAACAAUACGCUUAAAUUCUUCAUCUAUUUUUUCAGAAAAAAAUCGAUAGAACAAACAACCAACAAUCGGAUUCAGUUUUCGAUUUUGGAUUGUUUCAAUUUCGGUUUUGGUUCGUGUUUGGAAGUUUCGACUCAGUGGAUAGUUUGGAUUCGAGCAGAGCUUUUUCACGGUUUAGAUUUUGCAUUCCUGCCAAGUUUUCCAUACAUGUUUGUUUCGAUUUCGAAUCGAGUUUUGUUUCAGUUCAUAAUUUGAUUUACGUUUUCUGUUCAUAAUUGGUUGCGUUUUUGAAUUAUUGCAUUUUUACGGAUUCGACUCAAUUACGGAUUCUACUAAAGUUUGAUUAUGAUUUGAUUUCGGUGCAGAUUUUGGUUUGAAUUAAAAUUAAAGCACGUAUACAAUAUCAUAAAGCUAAAUUGGAUGAGCGCUCACCGGUUGAAACUUGAAAUGAAGAAAAAUUGCAGAUUUCGUCCUCACUCGCAAGGUGUUCGAUGAAAUGUCCCAACCGGAUUCUUUCUUCUUUUUGCUUCAGUUUUGAUUUUCUUACGAAUCAAAACUAGUUUCUAAGAUUUAUUGCAACAUAGGUGGAGCUGCCAAUUGAUAAAAAUAUAGUGAGUUGGUGAAAUCAAUGAAAAAGAAAAGUGAGGCUCUUGCUGAUCCUUGGAUUAUUGACUUUGAAUAUAGAGUUAAAGAAGAUGUUGGUUACUACGAGACUGACAAAAGGUGCAAGAAUACUCAAAUCGCUUAAUCAGGUACGAAAUUUUUGCAUGCACUUCUUAUAUCUUAUAAUCUUAUACUUGUAGUAUUUUACCUAUAAAAGGGGUUGAUUCUGGUCAAGAAUCAAGAUCAAUGUUAUAAUUUCAUUUAGCGAGAAAGGUUAUUAGUUAUUGUUUUUUACCAAUGAUUAUAUCAAGCACCACUUAGUUUUUAGGACCCUUCAUGAUUAAUUUUUGGUAGUAUUUUCCUAUAAAAGGUGUUGUUCUUGUAACAUUUACAUAUUAAGUUGAGUUGAAUUAAUUAUAGUGUGUUGGUAAUACCACUGAUAUAUUUGGUAUUAAAAGAAAUUUCCUAUCAAAUUAUAUUUGCAGUGUCUAUGUGUGAAUUCUUGUGUGUAAGUAUACCCCAGUGAUAUAUUUGGUACAACUUGUUCCAUUGGAUCGUUUGAAAUAAAGUUGAGAUAUUAAAAAAAUAGAUUAAUCCUGUAACAUGCAUAUACAUGUUUUGUAGGAAUUGAACAUGUUAAUGCAAUUUUUGUUUGUUCUAAUUGUUUUGAACUUGUAGGAAUUGAACAUGUUUUGUAGGAAUUAAACUUGUUCCAUUGGAUCUUUUGAAAUAAAGUUGAGAUAUUAAAAAAAUAGAUUAAUCUUGUAGCAUGCAUAUACAUGUUUUGUAGGAAUUGAACAUGUUAAUGCAAUUUUUGUUUGUUCUCGUUAUUGAUCAGGGUCCUUCUGUUGGGUUUGAUGUUGACUUGAGCAUAUUUGAUCUAUUCCAUGGUCAUCUUUUCCUAACCAGAGACUUCGGAAGAGUUGGUAUCUUGUAUGUUGAUGAGUAUUAGUUAGUGAUGCAGAUACUUUUCUCGGUUAAAUUGUACUCAUCAGUUUCUCAUUAUAAUUAAACUAUGAUAUUAGAAUAUACUUGAAAGAAUGUUGAUUAUUGAAAAUGAAACGGUGUCUUUGAGAUACAAGAACAAACUUUGCUCCUGCAUCUAAUUCAGGUGAACCAGAAGAGUGAUGAACGAUUGCAAAACCCUUUUCACUAUGUGUUGGAAACUCUUUUGGACAUGCUUAGCAACUUGCAUCAUUAUUAGUUUAUAAUAAGAUAUUAAUAUAAAGUCCUUAUUUUAUUGUAUGGUAUUGUGAGGUGGGGUAUAGUAUAAAUAUAAAGUAUUGAAGGUGGCUAAGGAGAAUCGUCCUAUGUGAAUAUAAAAGUCAAUUUAAUCAGCUAUAUAAUAUAAUAAAAAAAUCAUAUGCCAAAUACUAUGUAUGUUGUUUUUGGAGAAAAAAAAACGUUGAAGUGGUGUUAUAGUCUGGUAGGCACAUUGACCCCUUGCAGCUUGUCAAACACAAGUCAUUGGUAUGAAGAUUAGAAAUACUAUGAUGGUUUUAUAGUCAGUGGUGUUAUUGUUGAUUAAUGGCUGCUUUCAAAUGAGCUCACUCAUCUCUGGAAAUUGUGGCUACUGUUUCAGAUUAAGAUCAAUUUUCUUUAGGAGUUAUUGAUGCUGUCUCAAAUUUCUCUCUUCGGCACGGCCCUUUUAUCAGGCACUUUCAGUUUAGAGCCAUUAGGUCUGCGUCGGUUGGUAGAGCAGUACUUGAUAAUACUGAUGUUGCAGUUAAGGCCUUAAGACCAGACAUAACUCAAGGGGAGAAGCAAUUUCAUCAAGAGGAUUUGUAGCUGGAGUUUUCAGCAUUACUCGCUGUGGCGUUAAGAAAUACAGGAGGCGCAACGAUUGGGUUGUAACACUGUUUGGUAUGCCUCAUAGUUACUGAUAAGUGGGUGGUCAUUCAAGAGUAUGGUGCAGUCGCGCAGAGAUUGCUGCUCUAGCAUAACCAAAAAUAUUGAGCCAUAGAAGCACACUUGUGUACUUAAAGGAUGCUGCUGUAAGUAUAGUUUUCAACAAACUUUUUGGCUGCUUAUGUAAUCACGCACCCAAACCGAUAGGUGCCGCAGUUUUAAAGUAAAGCCCUGUACUUUCUAGCUUCAUUAUAAAUUCAAUGUGUAGUCGUGUAUUGUGGAAUACAAUUCUGUCUUCAAUCAAAUACAUUGCUCAA